CCCAGACAGCCAACAGGAGGCGCCACUGGUAAUCCAAACUGACAGAGAAAUAACCGUGAAAAGCAUGACCAGAAAAAGCAAUCGAGAGGUUGAAAUUUCAAGCAUUCUUUGAGAUAAUGGAGAGCAAACCCUGCAGAUACAGUGACACAAAU